rnacentral:lncRNA from 1 species
CAACAAAAAUUAAAAUGAAAAAUGAAAAUUAUCUGGUUCUUUUACUCGAAACAGUCCAUCGACGGUUAUGUGCCGGAGGAGGCAAGAAAGAAGAAGGAAUCGAAGCUCCAAGGUGGCUUGUUGGAUGGUGUUCAUCUCUGAGAUAUUGGCUCCGUCGGUAAAGAGAGAAGAGAAAAGGUUAUGGAACUGGCGAUGGUAGGAUAUAUUGCG